rnacentral:lncRNA from 1 species
AAAUCACAAACCCAAAUCUAUAAAAUUUCUCUAAAAAAUGAAAACUUUCCAAAAAUAGCAGCUUUUAAGAAAUUUUUUAAAAAUACAAUAUAUUGAUAAAAAACUCUGAAAGACUAUUCAUAUAUCCACCAAUAUUCUUGUUAUCCUAAUUUCUAAAUCACAAACUCAAAUCUAUAAAAGGUCUCUAGAAAAUGAAAAGUUUCAAAAAAUAGCAGUUAUUAAGAAAAUUAUUUAAAAAUACAAUAUAUUGAUAAAAAACUCUGAAAAAUACUCAUCUAUCCACAAAUAUUCUUUUUAUCCUAAUUUAAAAAUAAACAAACUCAAAUCUAUAAAAGUUGUCUAAGAAAUGAAAACUUUCCAAAAAUAGCAGUUUUUAAGAAAAUUAUUUAAAAAUACAACUUAUUCAUGAAAAAUUCAGAAAGAAUACUAAUCUAAACACAAAUAUUCUUGUUAUUCUAAUUUCUAAAUCACAAACCCAAAUCUAUAAAAUUUCUCUAAAACAUUAAAACUUUCUAAAAAUACCAGCUUUUAAGAAAAUUAUUUAAAAAUACAAUAUAUUGAUGAAAAAUUUUGAAUGAAUAUUCAUAUAUCCACAAAUAUUAUUGUUAUCCUAAUUUUUAAAUCACAAACUGAAAUCUCUAAAAGUUCUCUAAAAAAAUGAAAACAUUACAAAAUAGCAGUUUUUAAGAAAAUUAUUUAAAAAUACAACUUAUUCAUGAAAUACUUUGAAAUCAUACUCAUUUAUCCACAAAUAUAUUUGUUAUCCAAAUUUCUAAAUCACAAACUCAAAUCUAUAAAAGUUCUCUAAAAAAUGAAAACUUUCGAAAAAUAACAGCUUUUAAGAUAAUUAUUUUAAAAAAUAAUAUAAUGAUGAAAAAUUCUGAAAGAAUACUCAUCUAUCCAUAAAUAUAUUUGUUAUCCUAAUGUGUAAAUCACAAACCCAAAUCUAUAAAAUUUCUCUAAAAAAUGAAAACUUUCCAAAAAUAGCAGCUUUUAAGAUAAUUAUUUUAAAAAAUAAUAUAAUGAUGAAAAAUUCUGAAAGAAUACUCAUCUAUCCACAAAUAUAUUUGUUAUCCUAAUUUAAAAAUCACAAACUCAAAACUAUAAAGGUUCUCUAAGAAAUGAAAACUUUCCAAAAAUAGCAAUUUUUAAGAAAAUUAUUUAAAAAUACAGCUUAUUCAUGAAAAAUUCAGAAAGAAUACUAAUCUGAACACAAAUAUUCUUGUUAUCCUAAUUUCUAAAUCACAAACCCAAAUCUAUAAAAGUUUUCUUAAAAAUGAAAACUUUCCAAAAAGAGCAGUUUUUAAGAAAAUUAUUUUAAAAUACAAUAUAUUGAUGAAAAAUUCUGAAAGAAUACUAAUCGAAACACAAAUAUUCUUGUUAUCUUAAUUUCUAAAUCACAAACUCAAAUCUAUAAAAGUUUUCUUAAAAAUGAAAACUUUCCAAAAAUAGCAGUUUUUAAGAAAAUUAUUUAAAAAUACAACUUAUUCAUGAAAAACUCUGAAAGAAUACUCAUCUGUCCACAAAUAUUCUUGUUAUCCUAAUUUCUAAAUCACAAACUCAAAUGAAUAAAAGUUCUCUAAAAAAUGAAAACUUUCCAAAAAUAACAGCUUUUA